rnacentral:rRNA from 1 species
AUUGAACGCUGGCGGCAGGCCUAACACAUGCAAGUCGAGCGGAUGAAGGGAGCUUGCUCCUGGAUUCAGCGGCGGACGGGUGAGUAAUGCCUAGGAAUCUGCCUGGUAGUGGGGGAUAACGUCCGGAAACGGGCGCUAAUACCGCAUACGUCGUGAGGGAGAAAGUGGGGGAUCUUCGGACCUCACGCUAUCAGAUGAGCCUAGGUCGGAUUAGCUAGUUGGUGGGGUAAAGGCCUACCAAGGCGACGAUCCGUAACUGGUCUGAGAGGAUGAUCAGUCACGCUGGAACUGAGAGACGGUCCAGACUCCUACGGGAGGCAGCAGUGGGGAAGAUUGGACAAUGGGCGAAAGCCUGAUCCAGCCAUGCGGCGUGUGUGAAGAAGGUCUUCGGAUUGUAAAGCACUUUAAGUUGGGAGAAAGGGCAGUAAGUUAAUACCUUGCUGUUUGGACGUUACCAACAGAAUAAGCACCGGCUAACUUCGU